AUCGCUGCCAACCUAUCUAUCGCUGCCAAUUUAUCUACCACUGCCAAUCUAUCUAUUGCUGCUAAUCUAUCACUGCUGUCAAUCUAUCUAUCGCUGCUAAUCUAUCGCCGCUGCCAAUCUAUCCCUCGCUGCUAAGCUAUCCCUCGCUGCUAAGCUAUCCCUCACUGCUAAGCUAUCUCUCGCUGCUAAGCUAUCCCUCGCUGCUAAGCUAUCCCUCGCUGCUAAGCUAUCCCUCACUGCUAAGCUAUCUCUCGCUGCUAAGCUAUCCCUCGCUGCUAAGCUAUCCCUCGCUGCUAAGCUAUCCCUCACUACUAAGCUAUCUAUCACUGCUAAUCUAUCGCUGCCAACCUAUCUAUCGCUGCCAAUUUAUCUACCACUGCCAAUCUAUCUAUUGCUGCUAAUCUAUUGCUGCUGCCAAUCUAUCUAUCACUGCUAAUCUAUUGCUGCUAAUCUAUCACUGCUAAUCUAUCGCUGCUAAUCUAUCGCUGCUAAUCUAUCGCUGCCAACCUAUCUACCGCGGCGAAUCUAUCUAUCACUAUCAUUACUAGUUCAAAAUAGAACUAGAGCAUAAAUACACUAAACUUCUUUUGAUAGGUAAUGAUUUUUGGUAACGCUCAUAGCAUUAUAUCAUCUAUAUAGGGUAAAUCAUGGUCCCAUUUGGUCCCAUUUUAACAAAAUGGGACCAAAUGGGAUCAGAAUCAGUAAUUUAUAAGAAGAACAUGAUCUGGGACUAGAUUUAUAAUAUAAACAGUGUAAAGUGACUAAUUUAAUAAACACUAUAUGGGACCAGG
rnacentral:sRNA from 1 species